CGCAGGAGAUUGAAACGUCAUUGCGCACACGUCGGCGGCGGCCGCGACAAGCCGGAAGGAGGCGGGGCGUGGUCGCUGGGUCGGUUCUUGUGGUGACUACUAAACAAUGGAAAGGAACAAGCCACUAAUACCUGGAACAACAUGAAUGAACCUCAAAACAUUAAGCUGAGUGAAAGAAGCCUUGCAUGCAAAAAAGGUUUCCUGGAAUAAGAAUUCAUCGGAAGAAACUCUGUGGAAGUUUGAAAGCCGUUAUCAGUAUUCUCUGCCGAUAGCAAAGGCUCUCUAGUCGGCAACUAUCAGAGCAAAUUCUGUCUCUCCACUCUGUGGUCCUAGGCCCACUGUAGCCACCAGGGAACAGUUCAGCUGAAAUGAGCAAUCAACUCCAUUCCUGUUGUUAUUCUUAAAACUUCCUGGCACAGCAUCAGAUACCUGCAUGAAGGAAAAGCUUCUUCAGCCUUCCCUCUCUAUUUGGCUUCCAGUGGGUAUAUCACAGUUAUUGCCAUAUACAGAAAAUUCUGACUGACAUUUCCAGAGCUUUUUGGUGACAGAAGUGAUUUUCACAUUCCCUCAAGCUGGAGCAUAUUUUCACAAGCACUAUUUGGGUUCUUUGGUCAUUCAUCUUUAAAGUAAGAGAACUCCAUCUAGACCACUUCCAUCAUCUUGUGAUUCAUGGAAAACCAUUGACAACAGGAUUACUGACUGAUCUUGGAGUUGUUAGUUUUUAUCAGUUUUAGUGUUUUUAUAGUUAUUUCAUUGGGUGGUUGUAAGAGGUUUUACUAGGGGGUGUUAGGUAGCAUGCACUUUCAAUCAAGCUACCUAUUCAAAAUGUCAGCAUUUUUGCAGUAUCUCCCAAGAUGUUUCUGUUGAAGAAUAAUAUUUGUACUGUGAGAGUUAUAUCUGGAACUCCUGUACUCCAGAAUCAAAAACAAAAAUGUGAAGCAAUAGUUUCUAUUUCACAGGCUAAUUAAAGCAAGAGAUUUGGUAUUUCUUUACAAAAAGAAUGAUGAAGGUAGAUAGUGGCCUGGAAACCAGUGAACCUGAUUGCAAAAUGAAUAUUUAAAAGCCCCUCUGAUUUAAUGUGCUCUUGUUUCCAUUCCCUUUAUUCUUUACAAAGACAAAGAGUCCUCUGUAAAUAUUGCUUUAAGGAUUAUCAGGCUUCAAUUUUCAAUUUUGUCCAAAGGCCAUAAUUUAAACCAUAAUAUUGGCUUUACAAAUGUAAACAGUGAUUGAACCUCUUUCCUUUAGCUAAUAGAAAUGCCAAUGAAAUUAGAGUCAAUUAAAUAAUUGCUUUAUUAACCUAAUGUAUUACUGCUGUAAGACGUGCUGUGACUCAUCCAGUCAGGAGGGGAGCUAGGAGAGAACAAAACUACAUCAACAUAAAGACAAUGGAAACCAG